UACGAAGGGGGCUAGCGUUGCUCGGAAUCACUGGGCGUAAAGCGCACGUAGGCGGCUUUUUAAGUCAGGGGUGAAAUCCUGGAGCUCAACUCCAGAACUGCCUUUGAUACUGAGAAGCUUGAGGCCGGGAGAGGUGAGUGGAACUGCGAGUGUAGAGGUGAAAUUCGUAGAUAUUCGCAAGAACACCAGUGGCGAAGGCGGCUCACUGGCCCGGUACUGACGCUGAGGUGCGAAAGCGUGGGGAGCAAACAGG
rnacentral:rRNA from 1 species